UACAGCCAUAUCACAUUAAAACAUUGGUUCUCGUCUGAUCACUGAUGUUAAGCAACAUCAAGCCUGGUCAGUACCUAUAUGGGUGACCACUUGAGAAUACCAGGUGCUGCAAG